AUUGAACGCUGGCGGCAGGCCUAACACAUGCAAGUCGAGCGGAUGAAGGGAGCUUGCUCCUGGAUUCAGCGGCGGACGGGUGAGUAAUGCCUAGGAAUCUGCCUGGUAGUGGGGGAUAACGUCCGGAAACGGGCGCUAAUACCGCAUACGUCCUGAGGGAGAAAGUGGGGGAUCUUCGGACCUCACGCUAUCAGAUGAGCCUAGGUCGGAUUAGCUAGUUGGUGGGGUAAAGGCCUACCAAGGCGACGAUCCGUAACUGGUCUGAGUGGAUGAUCAGUCACACGGGAGCGGAGACACGGUCCAGACUCCUACGGGAGGCAGCAGUGGGGAAUAUUGGACAAUGGGCGAAAGCCUGAUCCAGCCAUGCCGCGUGUGUGAAGAAGGUCUUCGGAUUGUAAAGCACUUUAAGUUGGGAGGAAGGGCAGUAAGUUAAUACCUUGCUGUUUUGACGUUACCAACAGAAUAAGCACCGGCUAACUUCGUG
rnacentral:rRNA from 1 species